rnacentral:rRNA from 1 species
GAUGAACGCUAGCGGGAGGCCUAACACAUGCAAGCCGAGCGGUAGAGUUUCUUCGGAAACUUGAGAGCGGCGCACGGGUGCGUAACACGUGUGCAACCUACCUUUAUCUGGGGGAUAGCCUUUCGAAAGGAAGAUUAAUACCCCAUAAUAUAAUGAUUGGCAUCAAUUAUUAUUGAAAACUCCGGUGGAUAGAGAUGGGCACGCGCAAGAUUAGAUAGUUGGUGAGGUAACGGCUCACCAAGUCAAUGAUCUUUAGGGGUCCUGAGAGGGAGAUCCCCCACACUGGUACUGAGACACGGACCAGACUGCUACGGGAGGCAGCAGUGAGGAAUAUUGGACAAUGGGUGAGAGCCUGAUCCAGCCAUCCCGCGUGAAGGAUGACGGUCCUAUGGAUUGUAAACUUCUUUUGUACAGGGAUAAACCUACCCUCGUGAGGGUAGCUGAAGGUACUGUACGAAUAAGCACCGGCUAACUCCGUG